UACGGAGGGGGCGAGCGUUGUCCGAAGUUACUGGGCGUAAAGCGCGUGUAGGCGGGUUGCCAAGUCCGCUGUGAAAGCCCGAGGCUCAACCUCGGAGGGUCGGUGGAUACUGGCAGUCUUGAAGGUGCUAGGGGGAGAUGGAAUUACCGGUGUAGCGGUGAAAUGCGUAGAGAUCGGCAGGAACACCCAGGGGGAAACCAGUCGACUGGGCAGCACCUGACGCUGAGGUGCGAGAGCGUGGGGAGCGAACCGG
rnacentral:rRNA from 1 species